AAAAAAAAAAAGAAAGAAAGGGAAACUGUUGCCCAAAGUCAAAGAGCAAUACUAGAAGCCAGAACCUGGAAUCCCUAGGCUAGAUCCCUGUCCUGGUGAUGUCACUGGUACCCUUGGUGUGCCCUUCCCACCUCCAUCCCCUUCAGAUAUCCUAUUGCCCAGGAGCCAAUCUAGAUCAUGUGAAAUCACAUCAGGAAGGACAUGCUGAGUAGCCAGCCUUGCCCCAGGCUCAAAGUGGAAACCCAAAGUUGAAUGGACCGGGACUUCCCUGGUGGUCCAGUGGUUAAGACUUCGCCUUCCAAUGCAGGGGGUGCAGGUUUGAUCCCUGGUCUGGGAGCUAAUAUCCCACAUGUCUCACGGCCAAAAAACCAAAACAUAAAACAGAAGCAGUACUGUAACAAAUUCAAUAAAGACUAAAAAAAAAAAAAAAAAGGUCCACAUCAAAAAAAAAAUCUUAAAAAAAAAAAGUUGAAUGGACCCUUGGGCUUUAUCAAAGGCCUGAAAUACUUAAAUUAAAUAGACAUGAGUACAUAUAUAUUUGAGACAAAGGGCAUGCUUUUCUCUUUAUUUCCCCACUCUCUUUCGUGUUGUGAACUGUUACCAGAGACUGAGCUCUGGAAGAUAAGCGUGAGGGUAGCCUUAACGACAUGCCAGGCAUUGUUCCAGACACUGCAGCUACAAAAGACAAAUCCUGGCCCUUAUAGAGAGUAAUCGUUAAUAAACAAGUAAGACACACAGCACUUUAGAUGGUGGUGAGGGCUACAGAGGAAAACAAGAUAGGCAAGUGGUGAGCUGGUAGCUGGAGCAGCAAUUUAAAAUCGGGUUGGCCAGGAAGACCUCAUGAAUAACUUGAUGGUGGAGGUGGUGGAGAGGAGUUGGUUUCUGCAUUUAUUUUGAAGGGAGAGCAAACAGAUUUGUUGACAGAGCACAAUGGGGAAUGAAAAGAAGGAUCAAGGAUGAGUCAAGGUUUCUGGCCUGACAACUGGAAUGAUGAGAGCUGCCAUUAGCAAAGAUGAGCUGACGACGGGUGAGCAUGUUUGGGGUGGGGGUGGAGAUUAUCAGAAGUUUGGUUUUGGGGAUAUUGAAUUUGAGAUGCCUUUAGACAUCCAAGUGGAGAUGGCAAGUAGGCAGCUGGGUAAAUGAAUCUGGAAUUCAGGGAGGCGCCAAGACCACUUCCCUUAUCUGCCCACCUGCAUUCUUAUCUCACCUACACCCUGCGUAUUUACUGCUUGGAAGUAAACGAGUAAAAGCAUCUUGACCCAGUUGCUUUUGCCCAUGGUCUGGACUAGCUCACUCACAUCACCUCCCUUCCUAGACACACACACACACACACACACACACACACACACACACACACACACACACACACACACACACACACACACACACACACACACACACACACACACACACACACACACACACACACACACAAC